AGGGCCCUGUAUAGUUGGUUUUAGGUUGGGGCGACCACGGAGUACAACCAAACCUCCGCAAUGAACGGGACCACUCCCUUAUCUAAGAGCCACACCUCUAAGAAUUAAAACACUAACAUAAAAUGAUCCAUGAUCUGAUCAAUGAACCAAGUUACCCUGGGGAUAACAGCGCAAUCCAUUUCAAGAGCCCCUAUCGACAAGUGGGUUUACGACCUCGAUGUUGGAUCAGGGUAUCCUAGUGGUGCAGCAGCUACUAAUGGUUCGUUUGUUCAACGAUUAAAACCCU
rnacentral:rRNA from 1 species